UACGGGGGGAGCAAGCGUUGUUCGGAUUUACUGGGUGUAAAGGGUUCGUAGGCGGUGUGGCAAGUUGGGAGUGAAAUCUCUGGGCUCAACCCAGAGACGGCUUCCAAAACUGCCGUGCUUGAGUGUGGGAGAGGCUCGUGGAAUUGCAGGUGUAGCGGUGAAAUGCGUAGAUAUCUGCAGGAACACCCGUGGCGAAAGCGGCGAGCUGGACCACUACUGACGCUGAAGAACGAAAGCUAGGGGAGCAAACAGG
rnacentral:rRNA from 1 species